UACGUAGGGUGCAAGCGUUAAUCGGAAUUACUGGGCGUAAAGCGUGCGCAGGCGGCUUUGCAAGACAGAUGUGAAAUCCCCGGGCUCAACCUGGGAACUGCAUUUGUGACUGCAUGGCUAGAGUGCGGCAGAGGGGGAUGGAAUUCCGCGUGUAGCAGUGAAAUGCGUAGAUAUGCGGAGGAACACCGAUGGCGAAGGCAGCCUCCUGGGCCCAACACUGACGCUCAUGCACGAAAGCGUGGGGAGCAAACAGG
rnacentral:rRNA from 1 species